GAAAAUUACAAGCAUAAGCUCAAAACUCAAAGGACUUGGCGGCGUUUUAGAUCCCCCUAGAGGAGCCUGUCCUAUAACCGAUAACCCCCGUUAAACCUUACCUUCUUUUGCAUUCAGUCUAUAUACCGCCGUCGUCAGCUCACCUUUUGAAAGUUUUACUAGUAAGCAAAACUGGUUAAGCCCAAAACGUCAGGUCAAGGUGUAGCAUAUAAGAAGUGAAGAGAUGGGCUACAUUUCCUACCCAGGGUUUCCCGGAGAAUGUUUUGAAACAAACAUAUUGAAGAAGGAUUUAGUAGUAAGUAAAAACCAGGAAGUUUU
rnacentral:rRNA from 1 species